rnacentral:rRNA from 1 species
UGGGGAAUAUUGCACAAUGGGCGCAAGCCUGAUGCAGCCAUGCCGCGUGUGUGAAGAAGGCCUUCGGGUUGUAAAGUACUUUCAGUCGGGAGGAAGGUGGUAAGGUUAAUAACCUUAUCAAUUGACGUUACCGACAGAAGAAGCACCGGCUAACUCCGUGCCAGCAGCCGCGGUAAUACGGAGGGUGCAAGCGUUAAUCGGAAUUACUGGGCGUAAAGCGCACGCAGGCGGUUGAUUGAGUCAGAUGUGAAAUCCCCGGGCUUAACCCGGGAAUUGCAUCUGAUACUGGUCAGCUAGAGUCUUGUAGAGGGGGGUAGGAUUCCAUGUGUAGCGGUGAAAUGCGUAGAGAUGUGGAGGAAUACCGGUGGCGAAGGCGGCCCCCUGGACAAAGACUGACGCUCAGGUGCGAAAGCGUGGGGAGCAAACAGG